CUUUUUUUAAGGCAUUCCCAGAUGCGUAUUUGUAUUCCCAGUCAUGUGAAAUCCAUAGAUUAGGGCCGAGUUAAUUGAUUUCAAUUGACUGAUUUCCUCAUAUGAACUGUAACUCAGUAAAAUAAUUUAAAUUGUUGCAUGUUGCAUUUAUAUUUUUGUUCAGUAUAAUUAUAGUCCUAUAUUAUUCGAGCAUGUCAUUACAAUGAUGAUGAUAACAAAACGUAUUUAAUUUAACUGUUGAAAGCGAGGAAGUAAUGAAGUAACAGAAAGAGGAGGGAGGCUAAUACGAACAUUGUACAACAUUAGCGGAAAUACUAUGAAAGGUGGGCCUAUAUAUAUAUAUAUAUUCGUCAACCUACUAUUUCUAAAGAUGCCAAAUAGGCCCUAGUAUAUUUCUAAAUUAAAAUUAAAUUCACUAGCCUAUACUUGUAACUUUUUAGGCUGCAUGUCCUGCAACAGCAAUCGUAUGUUCUCUCCCAACUUCAUGGUUUGAACGAGGUGCGUAAUUUCAGUUGUAUAACACAGUAUAAUAUAAUACAGUACAGUAUUACAGUUCACACUCCAAAAAGAGUAACCUACUAGAGACUGGUUUCAUUUAUUUACCCAAGAGAGCAUAUAGCUAGCUACAUCUAUGGGCUUUUAGAUUUUUCUGUUGUGCGUAAUGUUCAGUAUUCUAUAUCAUGUGCUUGUAUUCGAUAACGGCACAAUCAUUUGGCCGUUUUGGGGCUUGGGCUCAUAAUAUGCAUUUAAUUGUAGGCUAGGGCUCAUAAAAUGUAUUUAAUGUAGGCUCAUCGGGCUCAGGUAGGAUGGAGUAUGAAUUUUCAUGCUGAACAAAGCUCUAAUCAAAUCCAGACAUAUUAAUAUGCUUUAUAUUCUUUAGAAUCCGUCCAACUCAUUCCAAGGAGGGCCGAGUGUCUGCAGGUUUUCCCUCCUUCCUUGUACUUGAUUGAUGAAUUAAGGUCACUAAUUAGUAAAGAACACCCCUCACCUGGUUGUCUGUGUCUUAAUUGAAAUGAAAAAACAAAAAAAUAACACUCAACUAGGCCCUCCAUGGAAUGAGUUGGACACCCCUGUUUUAGAACUUCCGGUUUGGGCGCAAAAUACCUGGUUACCCCCAAAAAAAGUGAUUUAUUCUCUGGAUGGAACAUUUGUAAAAUACCGGGAAAAUAUUCAGCCCAAGGUUGGAUGGAUUACUGGGCACAUCAACGGGACUUCUGUUUAGUUUCUAUUUUUCUGAACUUUGACUUUUCCGUUAUUAGAAGCAUUCCUGUUGUCAUACAGUACAUGUAUGUAAAGUGAGUUCAAACCAAAAGGCUGUAAAAUGCAACCGUUGAGUUUUGUGAUUGUAAAGCUUUGAUGUUACUGUCACGUUGGCGUGAAGGGUUGGGAGACAGGCGCAGGAAUGCGUAACAGUUUUUUUUUAUUAAGCCCAAAUUACAGUGUGCCGUGUAAAGGCACGGGGACGAAGACCAAACAAACACUUUUACAAAACAAAAGGUUUGAAAUGCAAAACAAAAGAGCGAGGAGUACCUCGAAUAAAUAACACUAGCGCACAAUAAUUAACACACGGAACGAGGCCCGUAAUCAUCUGAGCAAUCCAUAAGGGCACGAAAUCCAAAACACACAGCACAGGUACUCACACACACCAACGGACAUUGUAACAAUAAUCAACAGGACACUGGUAAACCAAGGACACACUUAUACAAGUACUAAUCACUGGGAAUAGGGGCCAGGUGUGCGUAAUGAAAGUUCCGGAGGGAUCCGUGACAGUUACAAUGGUUGGGGUUGGUAAUGCUUACGAAGUGGGUCACGUUCUUUCCCCCUUGUGGAGGUAUUGUUCUCCUUCUGUGAUAAAAAAAAUCUUCAAUCUCUAUGAGAUUGUUCAUGCCUAAACCAAGUUCACUCAAGGUUUUUUUGUUUUCCCUUCUCAAAAGUCAUCUGAAAUCCAUGUCCCACGAUCACUGUUAAGGUAUGAAAAGAUCAGACAAACUUCCGUUUUGGGGUGAACUAUCCCUUUCACUGGCCAACUAAAAACACAAAGUGACUAGUUGAUCACCAGGUCCAUGAACAGCUGGGGGGGGAUCAAGUAGUAAACUGUCCAUCAGAACUAUCCUAUAUUUUAGCAGCCGGCUGUCACUAGAGAAAAAUCCCCUGUCAUGACCCUGCGGCCUGAGGAAUUCCUCCCUGGAGGACAGUUCCAUGGGGAUAAAGAUGCCUAGAAGGGCCGUGUUUUUGAGAAGGCUCAAGCCAUAGGUGUAUCGGAUGGCAUAAAGGCAGACAGCCGCGGUCCGUGUAGGCUAGAAGGAAAACAGUGAGGAGGAGUAGGGGGUUGGAUAGUUUUGAAGACUGGUUGGGUUCGUAACCCGGGUCUUCUGGAUGCCAUAAAACUGUGUUAGCCCUCUGGGCUAAAUGUUAGGCAUCGACACAACAUAUGACGAAUCCCACUAGGCACAGACGUCAAUUUAACAUCUAUUCAACUUUGGUUCAAUGUAAUUGAAUUGAAAUGACGUGGAAACAACGUUGAUUGUGUUGUAUUCGUAUGAAACGUCAUCAUCAUCCUCAUUCAAAGGAAUUCUAACAUCUGAUUAUUCAAAGUGUGCAGUCUCUGUUAUACGUUUGGUGUGUUUUAUGUUUUAGAAUGGUCAUGAGAUCAAGUCCCAAAGACAGUUUUUCUAGAGUUUUUUUUUUUAUCUAUGAAAUAUAAACAUUUAAUAUAGAAUGUGACUAAAGGUAAAUCUAUUGCUUGCUACAGUAUGUGUAUGUACAUAGAUAUAUUUUGCUAUCAGUCAGUUACGAAACAAGGGGUAUAUACGUAACUUCCAAAAUAAAGGAAACACCAACAUAAAGUGUCUUAAAUAAAAGCUUUAAUGCAUAGAUUCUACAAGUGUCUGGAACUUUAUUGGAGGGACGAGAAAUUACAUCAUUUGGUGUUUUGUUGGUGAGAACACUGUCUCGGGCGUCGCUCCAGAAUCUGCCAUAGGAGUUCAAUUGGAUUGAGACGUGAUUAAUGAGAUCGUCAUGGCAUAUGGUUUACAUCGUUUUCAUGCUCAUCAAACCAUUCAGGGAUCACUUCUGCCCUGUGGAUGGAGACAAUGUCAUCCUAGCCAUGGUAGCCAAAGUAAUGGCCUGCCCAGCAUUUUUAUACAUGACCCUAAGCAUGAUGGGACAUUAAUUGCUUAAUUAAGUCAGGAACCACACCUGUGUAGAAGUACCUGCUUUCGAUAUUCUUUGUAUACCUCAUUUACUCAUGUGUUUCCAUUAUUUUGGCAGUUACAUGUACCUGUACAUUGAGAGUCAAUAUACAGUAUUAUCACACUUACAGAAACAUUUCUAAGUAAAGCGUUAUUUUUAUCAUGUUAAAUUAUGCAAAUAUAUUUGUACCUGAUAUUUGUUUUAUAAGAUGAAUUGUACUGUAUUGAAGUGUGUGUGAGUGCGAAAAAAUUAGGCAUCUCUAUUAGGAAGUCGUCAGAUUUCAGGAAACAUCAUAUAUGUAUCCCUGCGGUGAGUCCCAAAGAGUUGAAUGUGUCGUUCAGAAUGAUGAUUCAAAUAAACAUGUUAAAAUCCUUUACAAAUGAAUGCUUUUUUUUCUUAUGUAGGUAAUUACUGGCAAACUAUCAAGCAGAAGAC
rnacentral:lncRNA from 1 species